GUCUAAUCUCCUGCCCUGCAGCAGCUCAGGCUGUCUCCACACUGCCCCAGGGUGACCACCCUACUUUUCAGAACAGGAAACCAGCUCAGGAGGCCGAGUUCUCUGGCUUCACCCACUCUCAUCUUCCCCUGUGGGCACACCGCCAGCCAAAGAAAGAGAAUCCUGCGCUCCUGGGGUGCCACCCGCCGCGGGCCGCUCCUGCCCACUAUCGCCACCUCGUGGCUGAAGACCAAACUGCCGGUAGGGAUUUCCUGACUGUCCUCCAUCAGGGCCACCAACUCCAAACUGUCAUGAGCCCAGCCUGCUUGCCGACGCCUGUGGAGCACAGUGACAGAAGCAGAAAUCCCAUCGGUGCCGGGUGUGAGCGCUACUCUACAGGAGGCAAUUGCCUUCGGAGAGCAGCCCCCAUGAAACCUAAAUAAGGCAGGAGGGAGUCCUGGAGGAGGAGGCAGGGGGGCUGCAGAGGGCAGGAGCAGAACCACCAGGAGGUGAGGGGGCUGCAGGGAAGGGAAGGGAAGGGAGUAGCUGGGGGCCCUGAGGCCAGGUCUCUGCCCCUGACGGAGACUGUACCAGAGGGGGCUGGAGGAGGCUGAGCCUCCCCUGACCCUGAGUGUCCUGAGGACGUGGAAGGCUGGCCAGGACAAUGACCUUGAAAUUGAUAAAGAGAAAAAAGGGCAAACAUGAGCUCGUUCUUGCUUUAAAAAAAUGCCAGCUGCAUACCUAUCUGAUGGGGAGUAUAAAGAGGAAGUCACUGAGCCCGUGGCCUGCCUGGCAUGUCACAGGUCCAUCUUCACACAACCCCAGGGAGUCACACAAGGCUGGGUUCUCAGCACAAGGGACAGAAGCAAGCAGGGAUGUUGAGAGAACAACCAACUCCCUCCACAGCCCCGACCAGGUUUGCUUCAGCAUCCACAGGGUUGAUGGGACCUGAGGGGGACCACGGGCCUCACCACCAGGUGCUGAGGGGACAGGGCUUGGCAGCAAGGCCUGAUGGAAGCAGCAGUGUCCACUCAGGGCAGACCCAGCUAGGAGGGGAGUGCACAAGAGGGAGGAGAGCCCAGGCCACAGGGCACCGAGCUACACCCAAGCAGCCCGGGGUGAAGGCCAGCGGGGGCAGGAUGGGACGGAAGCCCAUGUCACAGGCCAGGUCAGCACGAUGAAGACAGAAGAGCCAGGACAAACCGCUUCCCCCUCCCCUCAAGGACUCGGGGUCCAGGCCAGGCUGCAGGGUCUGUGGCCUGUCCAGGGAACGAAACCCUGAGGCCAAGGCUUCCCACGGGCCCUUCAGGUGGCAGGUGCCAAACACACUCAUGCAGGGUGUGGGGACGAUUCAGCCCCCGAAAACCUGUGGGGGGAAGAUGUGGACUGAGACGAGUGUCCUCUAGAGAAGAAGCUCCCGAGAGGGGACCAGCCCUGGGCAGGCAGGGGACUCCUGCAGCAGCGCUCACUGCAGAUGGAAGGCCCAGGCUCUGGUUAAUGUUUUGAAGAGACUCCGGGCUGCAGUCCAUGUGCAGGGCUCCGUCUGCUUAGAACAUCUGCUCCUCUGUCUUCCAGCCGCUGCUCACAGAGGCCCCACCAGCCCAGCCUGACCCCCCAGCACCUGACCCCUGCCCCAUCACACUAAGACCAAGACACGAGUCCAGGCUCAGGACUGGACAGGGGCCAUGGGCCAGGGCCGUGGGGGUCUCUCUCAAACCCAAGGCCACAGACUCACCCAAAACUCAGUGAACAGGCUCCAUCAUCUCCCAGGCCUCCCGGGGAGCCAGGAGCAGAACUGGGCAUAGAUGGCACUGGAGCUCAGUCUGGUCCCCAGCACAGUCCAACUGGUGCUGGAGUCCUUCUUCCUCCUGGGAGAGUUUGCUCCCCUGGGACCAUCACCUCUAUCCUCGGGGCCAGAAGACUUACAGAUGCCCCAAGGCCCCAGGUGCCUGGUGCUGGGCUUUUGCCUCUCCCAGAGGCCUCAUCAACUGCUGGCACCCAGCCUGGACACUUGAGGCCAAUGAUCUGCCUGGUCCCUCAUCGUCCAGCCUGUCCUACAAGAAGGAGAAAGACCUGGGCAGAGGGUCCCUUCUCUGUCCAUAGCCCACGCUGUGAGUGUUCAGUGAACCAUGCCAGCCCAGCCCUGCCUGUCCAGGGGGUGAUGAGGGCCUGAUCACAGUCCUCUUCUCUUCCUGUCAAUCUCUCCUGCUAAGCUUCCCUACUGAAGCCUGUUCCUGAGCCCUUAAGAAUUUUUAGGACCAUUCUUGUGGCUUUGGACACAAUGUGACUGUUACAAGAAGACCCACUUGCAAAAUGGCACAAGACACUGCAACUGAGGACUGGGGACACAAAGGUGACUUUUGAAAGGACAGAGCAUAGAAGAGAAGGGGGUUAAGUCACCCAGGCUGUUUCUCCAGGCCCCGCCCUGUCCACCUCCGCCUUGUCCCAGGCCCUCCCCCAACACCUCCUGUCCCCGAACAUCUCACCUGGCUCCACUUUCCAAAUUUCAUUCUCUCACCUCAACUUCUUCGAAAACAAUGCCCAGAAAAACCUGAGUGUCCCUUUUUCUCUGAAAUGCUGACUGAAGACGGCUGGGUAUUUUAAUGCAGGUCACAGACACCCCCUGAAUAUGCUCUUCACAGCGAGGACCUCUUGAAGGCUGGGAGGUGGGUGGCUGGCGGAGGGGGCUCAGCCUGGGACAGCUUUUUGGUGUUCCUGGAAGAAAACCUCAGGCCCCUCCCAGGAGCAGGGCCAGCUGUGUGGACAGGAGAGGAUGAAAUGCCCACACUCUGUCCUCAGGGCCCAGGGCACCCAUGCUGCUGGCAGGAAGCGCAGGGAGCAGGGAGGGAAGCUGGUGGGUGCUGGGACGGGAGUGGGGAGAAUCCUGCUCCAGGAACGGAGCUGGGUCCACCCACAGAGGGAGGGCAAAGACGAGACCUGAGCUAGUGCCCGCCUCGGCUGCGCCCAGUGCUGGCAGGGCUUACACUCGGUGUCUAGUGCAAUCCUGUGACUCAGCCACUCUGCCCCACCUGCCUCAGCCACAGAGAUGCACCUGCACUCGGCACCCCUAGAACAGGCUGCUGUAAUGUUGAAUGAAAGAAGCCAGAGACAGGGACACCAAUCUGGGACCAGGGAUGCCACUCAGUGGGAGAGCAUUAGCCCAGCAAGCUCAAGGCCCUGGGUCCAAUCCCCAGCCCCACAAAAAAUAAUAACACACACCAAUCUGUGAUCACACUUGUGUGAGUCCCAGACUCUGACAAACCCACAACUUCAUGCUUGUGGAUGCCACCCUGAGGGGUCAAACUGUGGGAAAAACGAGGAAGUGGUUAUCUCAGAGGGGAGGGGGAGGCGCUUGUUUGCUGGGGACACAGAUUCUCAGAGUGAUGGUGCUGUUCCAUCUUGUGUCAUGUGGUACUUUGGUUGAUUUUGCUUUAUAAUAAUUCCUUUGACCUGUACAUUUACUUUAAAGUACUUUUCUGUUGUGUUAUUUUCACAAUUAAAAAUGCUUUAAAAAUA